rnacentral:rRNA from 1 species
UGCAAGUCGAACGAUGAAGCCGCUUCGGUGGUGGAUUAGUGGCGAACGGGUGAGUAACACGUGGGCAAUCUGCCCUGCACUCUGGGACAAGCCCUGGAAACGGGGUCUAAUACCGGAUAUGAUCACCGGCCGCAUGGUCUGGUGGUGGAAAGCUCCGGCGGUGCAGGAUGAGCCCGCGGCCUAUCAGCUUGUUGGUGGGGUGAUGGCCUACCAAGGCGACGACGGGUAGCCGGCCUGAGAGGGCGACCGGCCACACUGGGACUGAGACACGGCCCAGACUCCUACGGGAGGCAGCAGUGGGGAAUAUUGCACAAUGGGCGCAAGCCUGAUGCAGCGACGCCGCGUGAGGGAUGACGGCCUUCGGGUUGUAAACCUCUUUCAGCAGGGAAGAAGCGCAAGUGACGGUACCUGCAGAAGAAGCACCGGCUAACUACGUGCCAGCAGCCGCGGUAAUACGUAGGGUGCGAGCGUUGUCCGGAAUUAUUGGGCGUAAAGAGCUCGUAGGCGGCCUGUCGCGUCGGAUGUGAAAGCCCGGGGCUUAACCCCGGGUCUGCAUUCGAUACGGGCAGGCUAGAGUUCGGUAGGGGAGAUCGGAAUUCCUGGUGUAGCGGUGAAAUGCGCAGAUAUCAGGAGGAACACCGGUGGCGAAGGCGGAUCUCUGGGCCGAUACUGACGCUGAGGAGCGAAAGCGUGGGGAGCGAACAGGAUUAGAUACCCUGGUAGUCCACGCCGUAAACGUUGGGAACUAGGUGUGGGCGACAUUCCACGUCGUCCGUGCC